UUGAAAGGGAAACGAUUGAAGUCAGUCGUACCGACGGAGAUUCAACCUUUGAAAGUGGGACGAGGUAUUCGAGGAGUUUAAAAGCCCUCUUGCGCUCACGUACUUCGUUUUCUUUGGGGCUUUUCUUCGGGGGGAGGUUAACAUCUAUUUUGGACGAUACAAAAUGAUCGGGGGAAUGUAGCUUCGAUUUUUUCGAAGUGUUAUAGACCUUGGUAGAUGUGACGACCGGGAUUGAGGAUUGCAACGAAUGCUUUCGGGCUAUCCGUCUGACCUCUGGUGGUUGCUUUAGGGUCGAAAGCGUGCUUACGACUUUAAAGUUGGCUAUCAAAAGGCUAGAACGUGAUUAAAUUCGUUAAGGAUGUUGACGUA
rnacentral:rRNA from 1 species